ACUAGGUCACUUAACUUAGUUCUGUAACUGGAAACUCCAUAUUUAAACACGAGGAGCGUUAAAGGAGGACAGGACUCCUAACUCUCUCAUCAUAGGCAAGGAGAACAUUUGGUCUUUACUAAAAUAUGAUGCAUUCAGUGUGAGCCACAAAAGUGUCCAGGGCUCACCUGUAACUUCUGUUAAACUGCAGUGACACCUCUGAGCUGUGGAGAUCUCUGGGGGGAGACCCCUUGCUUGCCACUCAAGUCCUACAAGUGCUAAUAGAGAAGAUAAAGACUCCAACAAGAACAGAAGGCAGCAUCACCUCAGAGACAGAAAUUGACAGGCAUUUGGCAGCUGCUGAACCUCUCUCAGCAACAUGUGCCAUCUUGGAGGUGGUGUCAGCCCUGCAGUCGAGCAAAGCUGUGCAGGAACUGCUCCCAGAGUUGUUUCCUGUUCUCCUGCAGCAGGUCAGCCAAACCCUCGGACAAAAGGUGCCUUUGCCAACAAUAAGCAGCCUGAGGCGAUUCUGAAAAGGACUACAACUUACUGAGGGCAACCCUUGCCCGCUUUCUAUCAAAGCAUUAGAGUCUGUGCUUUUCAAGGGUGGGAAUGAGAGACUGGUGAGAGCGCUCAGGAAGCAGAGGACUUGGAUUCUUCUGGAAAACCCCAAGACUCACCAUGAGGGAGUGUGUCUGCUGGUGAGUCUUCUGCUAAGAUCUGGACUCAUAACACCUGAGAUCAUACAGAGCCUCCUCCCCUGGGUGAAUUCCCCCACAGAAAACCACCGAGUCACCAGCACAGCUUUCCUUGCCCAGGU